rnacentral:rRNA from 1 species
GGUACCCUAGGAAUAAGCAUCGGCUAACUCCGUGCCAGCAGCCGCGGUAAUACG